UCCUCAGAUCGUAAGAUGUUUUCUAGCCAAUCGGCGGUCGAGUUUCAAAACUACUGACAUCGCCGGAUCCGCGUUUCCAUGACGACGUCCGUUGGUCGUUUGAAAACAGGAAAAGCGCGGGAAAUCGUACGUCCAGACGAUUUAUCCUGACAAUCAAAUUUGAUAAAAUGAAAAAUGAUGACGAUAGAUAUUCAUGGGAAAGUGAAUCCACGAUAGAAGAUGACGAUGAUGAUAGAAAAACAACAAAGUGUUCAGACGUCUUUGAGUAUUUAUUUUGCAAAGUUCCAUCCGUCAUCUUUUCGUGUUGGAAAAGAAAAAAAUAAAUGCUCGAUAAUGAAAAAGAGGAAAUUGAGCUGUUGCAGUUUCCUUCUUCUUAUUUUUAUAUCUUUUGUGAAAAUUUAACUUUAGAUGGAUUUCCGGUAAUUAUUCUGUAUUAUUCUGAAAAUUAAUUGUGCAUAUCAUUAUGUGUUACCAACACAUUAUAAUAAUUUCGUUGUCACAGUUUUCAGUAGAAAAUUAUUAAAUUUUCAUCAAGCACGUGCUAUUUAAUAAUCUGCUCAACAUUCUAACUUGAAUUAUUCAGUUUAUUUCUACCAAACUGAUUGAGAAUUUUGAUGAAUCUAUCAAUUUUUCAUUGCACAUGUGAUUGGAGCUUUGCCGGAUCAAA